CGGGUGGCAGCAGUAGGGAAUAUUGCGCAAUGGACGAAAGUCUGACGCAGCAACGCCGCGUGCCCGAUGAAGGCCUUCGGGUCGUAAAGGGCUUUUGCGAGGGAAGAGGAAGGACGGUACCUCGCGAAUAAGGAUCGGCUAACUACGUGCCAGCAGCCGCGGUAACACGUAGGAUUCAAGCGUUAUCCGGAUUUACUGGGCGUAAAGCGCGUGUAGGCGGUUUGGUAAGUUGGAUGUGAAAGCUCCUGGCUCAACCGGGAGACGUCGUUACAAAACUGCCAGACUAGAGGACGGUAGAGGGAGGUGGAAUUCCGGGUGUAGUGGUGAAAUGCGUAGAUAUCCGGAGGAACACCUGUGGCGAAAGCGGCCUCCUGGGCCGUUCCUGACGCUCAGACGCGAAAGCUAGGGUAGCAAACGGGAUUAGAAACCCCGGUAGUCCUAGCCGUAAACGAUGUGAACUUGGUGUUGGAGGCGUAAGAACCUUCAGUGCCGUAGCUAACGCGAUAAGUUCACCGCCGUGGGGACUACGACCGCAAAGGUUA
rnacentral:rRNA from 1 species